UACGUAGGUGGCAAGCGUUGUCCGGAUUUACUGGGCGUAAAGGGCGUGCAGGCGGUCUGUUAAGUGCAGGGUGAAAGCUCCCGGCUCAACUGGGAGAGGUCCUUGCAUACUGGCGGACUUGAGGGGGGUAGAGGAAAGUGGAAUUCCCGGUGUAGUGGUGAUAUGCGUAGAUAUCGGGAGGAACACCUGUGGCGAAGGCGGCUUUCUGGGCCCUACCUGACGCUGAGACGCGAAAGCGUGGGGAGCGGACCGG
rnacentral:rRNA from 1 species